GACGAACGCUGGCGGCGUGCCUAAUACAUGCAAGUUGAGCGCUGAAGGUUGGUACUUGUACCGACUGGAUGAGCAGCGAACGGGUGAGUAACGCGUGGGGAAUCUGCCCUUGAGCGGGGGACAACAUUUGGAAACGAAUGCUAAUACCGCAUAAAAACUUUAAACACAAGUUUUAAGUUUGAAAGAUGCAAUUGCAUCACUCAAAGAUGAUCCCGCGUUGUAUUAGCUAGUUGGUGAGGUAAAGGCUCACCAAGGCGAUGAUACAUAGCCGACCUGAGAGGGUGAUCGGCCACAUUGGGACUGAGAAACGGCCCAAACUCCUACGGGAGGCAGCAGUAGGGAAUCUUCGGCAAUGGAGGAAAGUCUGACCGAGCAACGCCGCGUGAGUGAAGAAGGUUUUCGGAUCGUAAAACUCUGUUGGUAGAGAAGAACGUUGGUGAGAGUGGAAAGCUCAUCAAGUGACGGUAACUACCCAGAAAGGGACGGCUAACUACGUGCCAGCCGCCGCCGUAA
rnacentral:rRNA from 1 species